AUGCUUGCUUCGGCAGCACAUAUACUAAAAUCAGAACGAUACAGAGAUUAGCAUGGCCCUGAACAAGGAUGACACACAAAUUCGUGAAGCAUUUCAUAUUUUU
ensembl:snRNA U6 U6 spliceosomal RNA